UCAGCUGAUGGCGUGUGGUGAGGAGGAGGCUACGCACACCUCCCUUUAUUUUAUGUGUGAAUUGUGUGUCCCGGCGCGAGUGUAGUGUCCCCGAAGCCUUAUUUUGACGGGGGAAUCACUGAGGAAACGGUGGUGCUGGAAAUACGGGAGAUACAACGUUGUGGAAGGUAAGUGUGACGUCAGAGGAGCCAGCAGCCGACGCCGGAGAGCACCACCACCACCACCAUCACACCACCACCACCAUCAUCACCACCAACUCCACGGCCACCACCACCACGGCCCCUUCAGAGUGUGAGUGAGCGGCGCCCGGGCUGGCCACCGCGACGCCCCGCCCUAGGUGAGUGUUGAAUUACCUGCCCGUGGAGCGUGUGCUGGUAUGUACUAUAAGUGUUGUUGUUGUUGUUGUUGUUGUUAGGGUGGGGGGUGAGGGUG